UAUUAGUUCUGUUGUGCGAGGCAACGGCUAGCCCCUCUGUGCAGACACUUAAGGUAUUUACCAUUUGACGUCCCCCUUCCCCGUGUAACGUAGCAAAAAAUUGAGGUGGGGUAAGGCCGAGUGUUCUGCCUCGUGCCACAGAAUAUUUGCAUAAUAACCCGUGUUCGCAGGAGGAGUAUGUUUCUAAGCAGGCUCUAGGAAAUGAGAAAUGCCGGAUACGUAUGAGGUGACGGUGCUGCAACCCGGUUUGAAGUUCCUUCCUGAGUCUCGCGUCUAGACAUAUUUCAUUUGGAAGAUCAUUAGGGAGUUCGUUAGCUUUUAGAAGGGAAACUGCUACUUAAAGACAUACGCUCAGAAAGGACAAAGACUUUAGACAGCAAUAUUUGCCUAUUGUUCUGUUAACAGUUAAGCACUUUGUUAGCCUCCGGCUCGUACCCCAGUCACCGGGUUGCUGUGAAUAUGAAAUGACUGAAUCAAACUAAGGCAGUCAAAACGCUUUUCAUAAUUAACAACCUUUGUAACUUAACUUCUUCUUAGCUUAGAAGAGCAAAAUUGCUAAGUUUUUGAGAGAUGGGUUUAGAGACGUGUGGAAGCUGUCUGAGUUGUCUGCUGAUCCCUCUUGCACUUUGGAGUAUUGCUGUUAACAUCCUAUUAUACUUCCCUAACGGGAAAACUUCAUAUGCUGCCAGUUACCAGCUUCCCAACUACGUGUGGUAUUUUGAAGGGAUCUGUUUCUCAGGUGUGAUGAUCCUUCUGUUAGCGGUAACUCUAAUAACACUGGAGAGUAACACGUUCUAUCGGUGCUGCCGGAGCGAGAGCUGUAACAAAACCUACAGGAGUUUUAUUUCAAUUGUGCUAGCCCUGCUUGGAAUUGCUUUCUCCGGGUACAAUUGCAUCAUUUCUGCCUUGGGGUUGAUCCAAGGCCCCUUCUGCAAUUCAUCAACUGGAUGGGAUUAUAUCUUCAAAGACACCGCUGGAGGGUACCUCACAGAUUACUCUGCUUGGUCGCGGUGCACUGAACCUGCGCGCAUAGUGGAGUGGAACACCAUUUUACUCUCUAUUCUGAUAGCCCUUAGUGGACUUCAGAUGAUCAUCUGUUUCCUCAAAGUGGCUGCCGAGUUAAAACGGACACUCUGUGGGACCUAUUCUGUCUUUGUUCAGGACUAGGAUUGAGAAGGAAGAAGGCAGCUGGGAAUUCAGCAUCGAUACUGAGUUCAUUACUUUUAUGUCAGCAGAAGUUUUCUGAGCACCUUUCUUCUAGCGUUCAGUUUGAAGUUUUUCUUACCGCGUGCGGGUUUCACAGCAGUGAGAGGAAGAGGCAACAGCCUGGAAUUAUCUGAAACGGCAAGGAAGUCUUCACUGCUCCAAAAAAAAAAAAAAAAGAGAGAGAGAAAAAUGGCUUCUUCAGCAUUUCUUGUGGUAGAUUUGGGUGCUGCAAAGACAAGUGAAACACUUGUCUUAAAAUUUUCUCCCUCAAACCUCUCUAUUUUGAAUAAAGUUAUUUAAAUCGUUUAAUGGCUAAAUGCUGAACAUCUGCAUUUUCCUAAAGAGGCACUGUUUUCUAACUUUUUUUUUUUUUUUUUUACUCUCCAGCUGGUUCUGACGGUAGGGAUGUUUGAAUACCGUGAGACUGCUUUCGUAUUGAAACUUCUUGUUUUGAAUAAACUGCUGUAUAUAAGCAUGCUUUUAUAAUCCUCUUCUUUCCUCUCUCUUUGUUUGUAAUGUAGGAAUAGUUCUUGUUCUGAAAAGGCCUGAUCCAAAGCCUGGUAUGGCAGGAGUUGUUCUCCUGAGAUGAAGUAUACGAAUCAGGCCUUGACACUUUAAAUGACUAAUUUUAAUUACAGACAGAACCGUUAUGGUCAUGAAAGUCAAUAGUAUGACCCAUUCUAUACUAGAAACUUUUUAACUGCACAAAGCAGUUACUGAAAAAAGGCUGUUGGGUCUUCCUGAGGUACGGCUUUAGAAAGACAUCAAGGCCUAAUUUAAGAUUAGAUACACAGCUCUGAAGUCAGCUAUGCUAAUUAGUAUGCCUUAAUAGCUGUACUGUGUUUCUUUGCUUUUUGGUACUCAAAGGCAGACUUUUUUUGAACAAAUAUUACGGGAAUUAUUAGGGAACCCUGCGAGCGCCAAACACUAGCUGCUAAAUGCCCUGACCUUGCUAAAUUGGAGGAUUAACAUUGUUGCUAAUAAUAAUCAGAAGAAAAAGAACAAUCUGUUAAAAAUUAGCAGCUGAAGACUUGUUAUUUCAUCCUGUCCUCAAAGAAUUAUUGUUUCAUUUCCAGUGGAAAUUCAUGGAUUCACAAUAAAGUGGAUGUAUGGCUCAUCUGCAGCUGCAUAGGCAACAUUUAGCUGUAUUCAGCACUCUGCACUCCAGUUUCAGAAGAUCAAACCGCCAGAGGAAGGCCAGAUCUGUACUUCAGACUUGCAGUGACGCAUAUAUCCCUAUUAUAGCAGCAGUAGUGGGAUUCAGCUGUAGGAGCGUUUGAUAUUUGACACCAUUAGAAGUGCAAGCCAUACCAUAGCUAGCAGCCGUGGAUAAGAUACUUUUAGGAAAAAAAAAAAGGAAGAUCUCAGUAAUUUAAUUCUCUGUUUCAAGGCAAUAUGGUGAUUUUGUUUUGAUAUUUGUCUAUCAGUUAUUUUGAAAAACUGAUUUUUUUUCCUGCAGGGUUUGAAUAAUGUAUCUAAAAUUCUACUUGCUCAGUUUCUGUUAAGUCUGAAGAAAUAAUAAAGAAAUGAGGCAGCUCAUAAAAGCAUCGAAGAGACAAGGUGAGUAGGUUAUCAGUAGUGAAUCGUGGAUCUUCACAAAGAGCAGAUCUGC